AGGUUCUUAAGUCGUUGACGGACGAGGCGAAUGGCGGUUCAAUUGAAAGCGCAGGUUGAUGCGGUUCUCGUUUCUUCGUCCAUGCACGGCGCUUUGACG
rnacentral:rRNA from 1 species